rnacentral:rRNA from 1 species
UACGGAGGAUCCAAGCGUUAUCCGGAAUUACUGGGCGUAAAGAGUUGCGUAGGCGGCAUUGUAAGUCGGUAGUGAAAGCGUGUGGCUCAACCACAUAUACAUUAUCGAAACUGCAAAGCUAGAGGACAAGAGAGGUCACUGGAAUUCCUUGUGUAGGAGUGAAAUCCGUAGAUAUAAGGAGGGACACCGAUGGCGUAGGCAGGUGACUGGCUUGUUCCUGACGCUCAGGCACGAAAGCGUGGGUAGCAAACGGG